rnacentral:sRNA from 1 species
ACAAUAUUCUGUUAAUAACAAUAGCUUACAGAGCGAUAUGGAUAACCAGUUUAUAAAUGUAAAUAUGUCUUGUUGAAAAAUUCUCUUAUGCUGAGGUGGGCUGAAUCGUUGCCAAUGUUUACAAUUAUUAUGGCCACUGGGGACAGGUCAUUUUCAUGCGUGGCUAGCUUUUCAAUGAAAGUUUUUUGGAGCCUUAACCCAUAGGAGCAUAGAGGUUCAAUACCUGAGGAAUUGUAGAUGUAAGUAUUUGCAUAUCUUUUUGUGCGAUUUUGAUAAUGUUUGUUCACACAUUU